rnacentral:lncRNA from 1 species
CUCGAUGUAUCUCGGCUGCCUCGUGGUCAGGAAGCCAUGGAAGGAGACUAGUGCCUAGUAUUUGCGGAACCUGAAAACUUCCUUAAGCUGCAGUUGCUGUGCUGGCCUCCUAGGACAUUCAGCAGCUGGUCCUGUUGCCUUCCAGGUCUCCAUAUGCUCAGUCAACUCUCCAUAACUGUAAAUCAACACUAAGAGCACUAGAAGGUUAAAGGUCAAGGAGACUCUCACAAAGGAUCCAGGUAUGUUAGAGGUAUUGAACAAUGGGUGGAGUUGGGCUCACCUGUGAGUAGAAAGAGGACAUGAAUUUGAUUUUCCCAGAUUCUAUUUCCUUAAUGAUUCUGGAAAAGAAUAAUAUUAGAAGUGAUGAUAUGGAUUUACCAUGGAAGGAAGUGCUGUCAGCUGUUACUUGAUGUCAAUAUUUAAUUAAUUUUGAUCCUGGGAAAUUGCUGUUGCUCAUUGAAAUCAAAGUUUCUUUUAUCCAGAUUGAAAGCAACAUCAGGCUAUGGUUGUUAUAAGGGCAAUUUAUACAUAAAGCAAAUGUCAGCAGUAGAUUCCCUCCUAGGGCCUGUGACCUUACUUAUCGUAUUUUUUAGGCAGAUUUUCACUGUAAUCUAUGGAUUUUUGUUUCCUGUGGAGCUUGAAAGAGAAAACCUGUUACCCACAGAUAUUCUUGCCAGUAUCAUAAAAAUUUCCAUUUUGGCAGAUUCAGAUUGGAGCAAGCAGGUUACAAACCUGAAUAUAGACAUUGAUAACUCUGCUUCCUGCCCCAAUUUGCCUAGCAAUUUUUUUCACUAUGGAAGUUCCCACCGGGGUGUCUAAGAUGUCUGUUGAGAGUGAAUGGUCUGAUAUGAGGUGGCUUUCUCCAGAAGGUCUAUUUGCUUUCUGAAUCACCUAUUCUAUCCACUCUAAAUGUUUUCCUGUCCUUGACCUGUGUUCUUAAUUGAUGUUCUGUGUUGCAUUAAUCCCCAUUAGAGUAGAAUAAUUAUUUUUGACCUUCUCUGUACUGGUUGCUUUAGUUUUGAAUCUGUUUGCCUUAUUUCUGAGGUAUGUUUCUUCUCUUCUAUCCUUGAGAGCUUUUAUACUGAGCAGUGUCUACUUUUUACCCCAGGGCUCUAUAAGUAAGUUUCAUUCUCCUAUUGUCACUGUAAUUUGGGAGGAUUCCUGCCUACAUCUUUUAACUUAGGCCUAGUGAUGUAAGCUUCUACUCUCCAUACAGUAUUAUCUAGGCCUGGUGUGUUUUCAACCUCUGAAAUUUGCUGCUGAGUAAGCCCCCCCCCCCUUUCUUAUUCCUUCUCAAUGCUUAUCUGGCUGAUUCAAUUCGGUUUUUCCAGCUCAAACUCCUCUCCGAGCUGAGUUCUUCUCUCAGACACUGAAUUGUUCCACUUGGCCUUAAAUUAACUGUAGAAAUCUUUUCUCAUCUUCUGGCUCCUUCUCUUUCUCCUGCUCAUUCUAUCUUUACCUGUUCCUAGCAUGUUCUCUCUUCAGUCUGACUCUGUAAAACUCUCAGAACCCAGGUGCAGUGUCCUAGUACAUCCAGCUCUGGUCUAGUCUGGCAGCAACAUUGUGGGGAAGCUGUGCAGAGAAAUUCCAGAGAAGUUGUGUGAAACUGCAACAGAGUUGGAGGAGUGGUUCCCCAACAGAGUUGGGGAGGGUGGGCUUCAUGCAUGAUUAAAUAAGUUUAAGAAAAAGACAAAAUUAAAACGAAGAAUCAACCAAUCAAUCAAUGAAUUAAGUAAGCAAGCAAUUAAAAAUCC